GAUGCCACUUAUUGAUAUUUGAAAAGAGGUAAAAAUGAAAUAUGAAGACAGAAAAUCCCAUCAUGUAUCAGAAGGCAUGGAAUGAAAAGAAAGAGCCUUCUACCAGGACCUCCUGCACCACCCAAGAGUGCCAUUUUCUCAGGCACUGAGAAGGGCCCCUCCAACAGGGCAGGGUCAUCUGCUGUUACCCAGGCUGGACGAACCUUGCAUUCCCAGGAUAAACUCCUAACUUGGUCAUGAGGUACUGUCAUUUCAUAUACUGCUGAAUUUAUCUUUUAAAUAUUUUUAAAGGAUUUUUUGGAC
rnacentral:lncRNA from 1 species